GAAAAGGUUUUUUUUAAAACCAGCAUUAUAUAACAGAACAAAGAG
rfam:Gallus gallus isolate RJF #256 breed Red Jungle fowl, inbred line TCD001 chromosome 9, whole genome shotgun sequence.